rnacentral:rRNA from 1 species
GAACGUGCCCAGAUCUAAGGAAUAGCCACUGGAAACGGUGAGUAAUACCUUAUACGCCCUUCGGGGGAAAGGUUUAUCGGAUUUGGAUCGGCCCGCGUUAGAUUAGGUAGUUGGUGGGGUAAUGGCCUACCAAGCCUACGAUCUAUAGCUGGUUUUAGAGGAUGAUCAGCAACACUGGGACUGAGACACGGCCCAGACUCCCACGGGAGGCAGCAGUGGGGAAUCUUGGACAAUGGGCGCAAGCCUGAUCCAGCCAUGCCGCGUGAGUGAUGAAGGCCCUAGGGUCGUAAAGCUCUUUCGCCUGUGAAGAUAAUGACGGUAGCAGGUAAAGAAACCCCGGCUAACUCCGUGCCAGCAGCCGCGGUAAUACGGAGGGGGUUAGCGUUGUUCGGAAUUACUGGGCGUAAAGCGCGCGUAGGCGGAUUAGUCAGUCAGAGGUGAAAUCCCAGGGCUCAACCCUGGAACUGCCUUUGAUACUGCUAGUCUUGAGUUCGAGAGAGGUAAGUGGAAUUCCGAGUGUAGAGGUGAAAUUCGUAGAUAUUCGGAGGAA